UCAAGAAUGGCAUCUGAGACUUGGUCACAUAGCUUAUCAGGGUGUCCCUCGUUGACAGACUCAGAAGUGAAAAGGAAGGUCUCCAUAUCUCAACUAUGAGUAAAAAGAGAGAGCUUUAACAGAGGAAAUGGAAGAGAAGGAGAAAGGAGAGACAAGUGAGAGUGAUAUAUAGUUGAAGAGAGACGCGGUGGUGUCCUAUGACUCGCUCUCUCUCUC
rnacentral:misc_RNA from 1 species